GACACUGUAGUCUAGUGGUUUAGGAUACUCCCCUUCCAUAACAAUGAUCUUCAGGAUCAUAGGCGAGGGAGUGACACGGGUUCGAAUCCCGUCAGUGUCA
rnacentral:tRNA from 1 species